UUAUGAAACUGAAACAAAACCUAACACUCAGCACAAAACAUGGCUUUCUCAAACUAUGAAUGAGCUAUUCUCUCUACUUCGUGGCGCACAACAGAUCUCCUCUACCCAAAUUAUCAAAAUGAACUCCUCUAUUUCAGUCCUAACCCAACAUCAAUCUCUCCUUGAUUAAGUGUUAAUAGAUUUAGGGUUUCUCCAAGAUUGGGGAUUUAGGGUGUUUUUCGAUUAAGUGUUCUGCUCAAGAUUGAGGAUUUUGGGUUUUUUUUUUUUUUUUUUUACUGCAUUAGGCAAAGGCGACUACCUCGUCUAGUUCUCUUGGCGACGACCCAGUCCCGGCGACGACCUCAUCACGUUCUCUCAACAUCACACUAUCAGUCAGUCAAUCUAGAUCUGUCUCUCUCUGAGUGAGCUCAACGAUCCUGAGAAUGCUAUAAUUGGAGCUUUUGCAGGUUGGUGAUCCUCUUGAAAAGGCUGCACAUAAAGGAAUAGAUUGGAGCUUUAAUUGAUGAGAAGGCCAUGCCAAAAAGCCAGAUAAAUGCUGGGGAGGAAUUUGCUUGCUAGGGUGACUUGAAAGGAAUGCAGCUCUGAUCUUUUCUUGGCAUCAUACUCUGUUUGGUACCAAAAGCUUCUAUCACCUCUUCAGGUGUAUUUGAUACUUGACAAAUUCAGUCUUGCUAGAGAGCUUCAAGAAACAAAAAAGAAGAUAUAUUCACCAGGAUUGGAUUCAGCUCCACUUAGAUGGGUCAAUUUUGCUAAUGGAUUGCUACUUUUCCUAUACCAGCUGAAGACUACAUAAUGAAGGUUCGAUGUUGGACAAGGAGUUCAGAAGUUCAAAGCGGGCGAUAAUUAAUGUUAUAGCAUUUCACCAUGUGAGAAGAGCCUCUGCUUCAGAAUUGGAAUGAACAGUAGUAGUAAGAGAAAAUGCUAACAACUGAAGCUGCUUUGUGUUAACUACUUGUUUCUAUGUACUUAUUAUGUCAAGAUAAUGUACUGAUGACUUGUACAUAUGGAGUUGUUAAUAUAAUAUAUAACUGAUUCUUUGCCUAUA